CCAUAUAUCUUCCAUUGUUUCCCAUCUCAGCUUUCCUUCCCCAGCUAACCUCAAAGCUGGUAACAAAGUAGGGCCCACCAUUUCACGAUCAAAAGCAAUGUUGAUUCCACUGAUAGGCAUCAUGGCCCUUGCUGGAACAGUCAUCACCGCAUCAACAUAUCGAGAAUUCCUCUGUCCUGGCUUCAGGGCUUGUGUAGGCGCAUCGAAGUCAGCUAAAUUAAGCCACAGUCCGCAAGACAAAGCACAUGUAACCCCAUUUCGAAGGCUAAAUGGGUAUCCACGAACAAAAUCUGCUCCCUCACGAUAAGGGUCAUAGAGCGUAUUAAAGAAGAAAGGGGUAGCUGGAGUUGUCAAGUUCAUGAUAUGCUGGUCCACAGCAUCAAUUAAGAAACCUCUUUCAUCCUUGGCUGGAAUGCAGUCAUCAUCAAUUGAAACAAUGUACUUUUUUCGAGAUACGAGAAAGCCAAAAUAUCUGCAUGAAUAUCCAGAGAAGAGAAUAGAAGUGGAAGAACCCACUGCACGAUCCAUAUGAGACUUGGUAUAGACAUCCACAUUAAAUCCUUCUGGUAUCUUGAGUUC
rnacentral:misc_RNA from 1 species